rnacentral:tRNA from 1 species
GCAAGAGUAAAUGGAUAGUGUUCUUGCACUGUAAGCGAGAACUGUGAGUUCGAAUCUCACCUCUUGCCCA